rnacentral:lncRNA from 1 species
UUCCUCUAUUGUUUCCAGAGCAUCACAUGUCAACACAUAGAUAUUUACCGGUAUGGACAUACCACAGGUAGAGGAAUAACACACGCACAGUACUAACAGAAGUUGCGGUAUAUGUGAAAUCCUCCCAAUGUGCGGUCAUGCUCACAGUUUGAAUUAAUGAAAGGCUAAUAUAAAGCGGGAGGCGUUUAGAGCGCGAAAACAUAAUGAAAUCAGCCCUAAGAAAUAUUUAAUAAUGCUCGAAAAUAAAAUGCUAAAACAACAAAAUAUGGAGUCAUAUUCAUAGUACACAGAUAAUUACUUAAAGCGCUUAUUCUGUUUAACGUCGUUAUGAACUGCUAAGAAAAUAUUAAAGUUUUGAGAAAGUGUCGGUACAGAAAGGCCGAAGAAUAGCAAAGAAGAACGUUUAUUUCUAUGCAUAGUAACGACAGAUAAAGUGGACAUUUUAAUUUUAAGAUGUGUUUGUUAAGGGAUUGCAGGAAUAUGAGGAGUCAUUUGUUUUAUUAUAAAAAUCUAAAUUUAAAUUAAAUUUAAUUUAAAUAAAACUUUUUUCGACCCUUUGUGUGCAUUUGUAGUAUGUGUGUGUGCAUGGGUGUAUCUCACCUGCCCUAUUGUCUGAUCAUGUGACUCUCAGAUCGUUAACACACACGCGCACGCAGCGUGCGUUAUCCCUGACAGCGCCCCGGCGACGCUCCUGCUUGUCUCCCUUGUGUGACGAGAGUAACGCGCGCGCGUCCCCUGGCAACAGCCAGUCGCCGUGAGAAUGGAACAGCCGGCAGACGAUUUCGGCGGCCAUUUAACCGCGCGUCGGCUGCACCUCAGACAGCGGUCUGCCUCGAGUGCCCGAGCAACAGAUACGACUGCACGAUGAGGCGACCUUAGUCUCAGGCGAUGUUCUUGUCUUCCUUGGCAGUAAUGUGGCCUGGGAUUGAAUAGUGCUGACGUAUUGGAUGAGACAUCUUAGAGAAAGCCACGUGGUGUGUCUGUGUCCAGCGGUCGUUCUGGAGGGAAUGCUUUUCAAAUAAUCGUCUGAAUGAAGAGUGCCAACAAGUGUGCGCAGUCUUGACACUUUUGCUUUGAGGUUAACCCCUUGUUGUGAUGAUUUCCGUUAUCCCUGAUUGAAUAUUAGUGAUUCAUCGAAGUCAUUCACUCGGCUUUCUGCUGUCCCAGAAGGAUUUGUACCCUACGAGACAAUUUAGGCAAGAUCCACAGAGAUAAGAGCUUGGAUAGUCUUCAGUUUGAACCGUUUCCAAGACAACGCGCCAGGAAGACGACAAGCCGUGGUCAGCCUUCUUGUGAGAAGGGGAGAAACAUCAGCAACACUCUACACUCCCCCUCCCUACCACCCCGAAUGUGUGGCCUUCGCGAGCGCGCACUCAGAGGCAAGGCAUGCUGAAGAAGACUUCGUAAAAGGUCAGUUGCUUCCUGCUGUUGUUGUAUUUCUCCCCAUCCAAAGGACAACGAUUGUAGCACGGCUACUUUGCAUGACCUUUUCGUUUUUUAGAACAGUAAAGCUCGUUUCCAGUGAUGUAUGUCUUCUUUUCUAUGUCUGUGGCCAUUGCGAAAUCAACAGACUCCACAAACCGGGGAUGUAACAGUGUUCAGAGCUAGAAAAGCGAUCAGGGUUAGUUGUGAGACAACCAUUGUGCAGGCUUGUGCUAAACCCUAUACCCCAUUGUCUGAUUUUUAUUUGUUUGUGCAUUUCUUCUUCUUGUGCUCUUUUGCAUU